GUCAAAUCCAUCCUCUACAAGCGGGCAACACAAUCAAAAGCAAUCAACAUUAACUCCUAGAAAUUAGCCCUGAAGUUCCAUCUGGUAGCUGGUUUGAUGUUGUCUGCAGAGCUCUUGCCAUGGUUCUCUCUUGCUGCUACGAAGGUAAACCAUUCUCAAAUCUUUUUUUCUUUCUUUUUAGUCAUUUCCUCUUUUAUAUAUGUGUUUGAUCUCCGGAUGAAACUAAAACUAGGUUGUGAAACCUGAUCAGCUCCUAAACCUGAACUAAACUAGUGACUUGAUUUUCUCA
rnacentral:lncRNA from 1 species